GGCCUGUUAGCUCAGCUGGUUAGAGCGUGGUGCUAAUAACGCCAAGGUCGUGGAUUCGAUCCCCACAUGGGCCA
rnacentral:tRNA from 1 species